GUAUCCAAGGAGGAAGCCCCGGCUAACUACGUGCCAGCAGCCGCGGUAAUACGUAGGGGGCAAGCGUUGUCCGGAAUUAUUGGGUGUAAAGGGUGCGUAGGCGGUUUGAUAAGUUAGAGGUGAAAUUUCGGGGCUCAACCCUGAACGUGCCUCUAAUACUGUUGAGCUAGAGAGUAGUUGCGGUAGGCGGAAUGUAUGGUGUAGCGGUGAAAUGCUUAGAGAUCAUACAGAACACCGAUUGCGAAGGCAGCUUACCAAACUAUAUCUGACGUUGAGGCACGAAAGCGUGGGGAGCAAACAGGAUUAGAUACCCUGGUAGUCCACGCAGUAAACGGAUGAUAACUGGUUGUCGGCGAUACACAGUCGGUGAUUAAGCGAAAGCGAUAAGUUAUCCACCUGGGGAGUCGUUUCGCAAGAAUGAAACUCAAAGGAAUUGACGGGGGCCCGCACAAGCGGAGGAACAUGUGGUUUAAUUCGAUGAUACGCGAGGAACCUUACCCGGGCUUGAAAGUUAGCGACGAUUCUUGAAAGAGGAUUUCCCUUCGGGGCGCGAAACUAGGUGCUGCAUGGUUGUCGUCAGCUCGUGCCGUGAGGUGUCGGGUUAAGUCCCAUAACGAGCGCAACCCCUACCGUUAGUUGCCAUCAGGUGAAGCUGGGCACUCUGGCGGGACUGCCGGUGUAAGCCGAGAGGAAGGUGGGGAUGACGUCAAAUCAGCACGGCCCUUACGUCCGGGGCUACACACGUGUUACAAUGGUAGGUACAGAGGGCAGCUACCCAGCGAUGGGAUGCGAAUCUCGAAAGCCUAUCUCAGUUCGGAUUGGAGGCUGAAACCCGCCUCCAUGAAGUUGGAUUCGCUAGUAAUCGCGCAUCAGCCAUGGCGCGGUGAAUACGUUCCCGGGCCUUGUACUCACCGCCCGUCAAG
rnacentral:rRNA from 1 species